GAUGAACGCUGGCGGCGUGCCUAAUACAUGCAAGUCGAGCGAAUGGAUUAAGAGCUUGCUCUUACGAAGUUAGCGGCGGACGGGUGAGUAACACGUGGGUAACCUGCCCAUAAGACUGGGAUAACUCCGGGAAACCGGGGCUAAUACCGGAUAACAUUUUGAACCGCAUGGUUCGAAAUUGAAAGGCGGCUUCGGCUGUCACUUAUGGAUGGACCCGCGUCGCAUUAGCUAGUUGGUGAGGUAACGGCUCACCAAGGCAACGAUGCGUAGCCGACCUGGGAGGGGGAUCGGCCACACUGGGACUGAGACACGGCCCAGACUCCUACGGGAGGCAGCAGUAGGGAAUCUUCCGCAAUGGACGAAAGUCGGACGGAGCAACGCCGCGUGAGUGAUGAAGGCUUUCGGGUCGUAAAACUCUGUUGUUAGGGAAGAACAAGUGCUAGUUGAAUAAGCUGGCACCUUGACGGUACCUAACCAGAAAGCCACGGCUAACUACGUGACAGCAGCCGCCGUAA
rnacentral:rRNA from 1 species